UUAACCCGGGCGGGUGCUAUACAUGCAAGUCGAACGAACUCUGGUAUUGAUUGGUGCUUGCAUCAUGAUUUACAUUUGAGUGAGUGGCGAACUGGUGAGUAACACGUGGGAAACCUGCCCAGAAGCGGGGGAUAACACCUGGAAACAGAUGCUAAUACCGCAUAACAACUUGGACCGCAUGGUCCGAGCUUGAAAGAUGGCUUCGGCUAUCACUUUUGGAUGGUCCCGCGGCGUAUUAGCUAGAUGGUGGGGUAACGGCUCACCAUGGCAAUGAUACGUAGCCGACCUGAGAGGGUAAUCGGCCACAUUGGGACUGAGACACGGCCCAAACUCCUACGGGAGGCAGCAGUAGGGAAUCUUCCACAAUGGACGAAAGUCUGAUGGAGCAACGCCGCGUGAGUGAAGAAGGGUUUCGGCUCGUAAAACUCUGUUGUUAAAGAAGAACAUAUCUGAGAGUAACUGUUCAGGUAUUGACGGUAUUUAACCAGAAAGCCACGGCUAACUACGUGCCAGCAGCCGCGGUAAUACGUAGGUGGCAAGCGUUGUCCGGAUUUAUUGGGCGUAAAGCGAGCGCAGGCGGUUUUUUAAGUCUGAUGUGAAAGCCUUCGGCUCAACCGAAGAAGUGCAUCGGAAACUGGGAAACUUGAGUGCAGAAGAGGACAGUGGAACUCCAUGUGUAGCGGUGAAAUGCGUAGAUAUAUGGAAGAACACCAGUGGCGAAGGCGGCUGUCUGGUCUGUAACUGACGCUGAGGCUCGAAAGUAUGGGUAGCAAACAGGAUUAGAUACCCUGGUAGUCCAUACCGUAAACGAUGAAUGCUAAGUGUUGGAGGGUUUCCGCCCUUCAGUGCUGCAGCUAACGCAUUAAGCAUUCCGCCUGGGGAGUACGGCCGCAAGGCUGAAACUCAAAGGAAUUGACGGGGGCCCGCACAAGCGGUGGAGCAUGUGGUUUAAUUCGAAGCUACGCGAAGAACCUUACCAGGUCUUGACAUACUAUGCAAAUCUAAGAGAUUAGACGUUCCCUUCGGGGACAUGGAUACAGGUGGUGCAUGGUUGUCGUCAGCUCGUGUCGUGAGAUGUUGGGUUAAGUCCCGCAACGAGCGCAACCCUUAUUAUCAGUUGCCAGCAUUAAGUUGGGCACUCUGGUGAGACUGCCGGUGACAAACCGGAGGAAGGUGGGGAUGACGUCAAAUCAUCAUGCCCCUUAUGACCUGGGCUACACACGUGCUACAAUGGAUGGUACAACGAGUUGCGAACUCGCGAGAGUAAGCUAAUCUCUUAAAGCCAUUCUCAGUUCGGAUUGUAGGCUGCAACUCGCCUACAUGAAGUCGGAAUCGCUAGUAAUCGCGGAUCAGCAUGCCGCGGUGAAUACGUUCCCGGGCCUUGUACACACCGCCCGUCACACCAUGAGAGUUUGUAACACCCAAAGUCGGUGGGGUAACCUUUUAGGAACCAGCCGCCUAAGGUGACAGAUUUACGG
rnacentral:rRNA from 1 species